rnacentral:rRNA from 1 species
UGGGCAUCANUGACGCUGAGGGCUCGAAAGCAUGGGUAGCAAACAGGAUUAGAUACCCUGGGUAGUCCAUGCUGUAACGAUGAUUACUAGGUGUGGGAAGAUUGACCCCUUUCCGUGCCGCAGUUAACACAAUAAGUAAUCCACCUGGGGAGUACGACCGCAAGGUUGAAACUCAAAGGAAUUGACGGGGGCCCGCACAAGCAGUGGAGUAUGUGGUUUAAUUCGAAGCAACGCGAAGAACCUUACCAGGUCUUGACAUCCAACGACCGCCUAAGAGAUUAGGCUUUCCUUCGGGACGUUGAGACAGGUGGUGCAUGGUUGUCGUCAGCUCGUGUCGUGAGAUGUUGGGUUAAGUCCCGCAACGAGCGCAACCCUUAUUACUAGUUACUACGCAAGAGGACUCUAGUGAGACUGCCGUUGACAAAACGGAGGAAGGUGGGGAUGACGUCAAAUCAUCAUGCCCUUUAUGACCUGGGCUACACACGUACUACAAUGGCUAUUAACAGAGAGAAGCGAGACCGCAAGGUGGAGCAAACCUCAGAAAAAUAGUCUCAGUCCGGAUUGGGGGCUGCAACCCGCCCCCAUGAAGCCGGAAUUGCUAGUAAUCGCGGAUCAGCAUGCCGCGGUGAAUACGUUCCCGGGCCUUGUACACACCGCCCGUCACACCAUGAGAGCCGGGGGGACCCGAAGUCGGUAGUCUAACCGCAAGGAGGACGCCGCCGAAGGUAAAACUGGUGAUUGGGGUGAAGUCGUAACAAGGUAACCGUAAAGGGCGAAUUCGGAGCCUGCUU